UACGUAGGGUGCGAGCGUUAAUCGGAAUUACUGGGCGUAAAGCGUGCGCAGGCGGCUUUGCAAGACAGAUGUGAAAUCCCCGGGCUCAACCUGGGAACUGCAUUUGUGACUGCAAGGCUAGAGUACGGCAGAGGGGUAUGGAAUUCCGCGUGUAGCAGUGAAAUGCGUAGAUAUGCGGAGGAACACCAAUGGCGAAGGCAAUCCCCUGGGCCUGUACUGACGCUCAUGCACGAAAGCGUGGGGAGCAAACAGG
rnacentral:rRNA from 1 species